rnacentral:rRNA from 1 species
GACGAACGCUGGCGGCGUGCUUAACACAUGCAAGUCGAACGGAAAGGCCCUGCUUUUGUGGGGUGCUCGAGUGGCGAACGGGUGAGUAACACGUGAGUAACCUGCCCUUUACUUUGGGAUAACUUCAGGAAACUGGGGCUAAUACCGGAUAGGAGCUCCUGCUGCAUGGUGGGGGUUGGAAAGUUUCGGCGGUUGGGGAUGGACUCGCGGCUUAUCAGCUUGUUGGUGGGGUAGUGGCUUACCAAGGCUUUGACGGGUAGCCGGCCUGAGAGGGUGACCGGCAACAUUGGGACUGAGAUACGGCCCAGACUCCAACGGGAGGCAGCAGUGGGGAAUAUUGCAGAAUGGGCGGAAGCCUGAUGCAGCAACGCCGCGUGCGGGAUGACGGCCUUCGGGUUGUAAACCGAUUUCGCCUGUGACGAAGCGUGAGUGACGGUAAUGGGUAAAGAAGCACCGGCUAACUACGUG